UUCAAAAUAUUUCAUUGGAUAAUAAAUGCCUGUGAAAAGAUGAUACUGUGCAGGGUUGGUGAUUUGGGUUUUUUUAACCUUAUCUAUGAAACCAUAUGGUAAACUCCAUGACUUUCAGUUUAUCUUCUUUUAAAAGAUCACUGGAUGAGCUCAUCUUCCCAAGGUUCAAUUGUAGAAUUUACAGCAACUAGAUGAAUUAACAGGAUCUCCAGCAGACAUUGCAGUUGAUGUACUGGGAGAUAAUCCUAAACAAAAUCAGAUUAAGAAAAGGGUAACAAGGCUCCUUUUUCUUCUGCAAAUUCCUUACAAUUACGUUGCAUCCUUAUGUUAGUUUGCAUUGAGACUCUGGAGAAGAUUCUGCGAGAAUAUUGUACAGUUGAUCUUCUCAUCAAAGUAUCAGCUUUUCUAAACGUGUCAAUCAGCUACAGCAAGUACCCUAUAUUACAGUAUAUGCCAUCUGAUUCACCUUCUUACAAGGAUCAUCUUUGUAACCUUCUCUCAUGCUACAUCAAAGAGCAAGAUGACCUCUACGCAACACCAGGAAUGAAAAGAAUUCCUGAAUUGUGAGCCCAGCCGCCAGGCAAUUUCAGAAGCCUUCCUGUUGCUGCCUGUCUCCUGUCUUUUGAUGAGUUGGCUCAUUCUUUGGGUUUUUUUUAUUUAAGAGCAAUAUUUACCUGCAGCAUAGGAAUGCUCUGAAGAUUAAUUCAUUUGCGUACCAUGUGAUAUAUAUGCUGGGUAACAGAUAUCAGUUGUGGAAGAUAGAGUGCUGCUAGCAAGCUGUCCAGGACAAACUACCUGAUGGUGUCUGUUGACUCUAAGCUCCUUACUUUGUCACUGCUCACAGAACAAAUCAGGGCAGAAAGGAAAGGGUCUCAGGGAUGGCCUUCUCUUUCUGAUCCACAGUAGAAAAAUGCCCUGUGGUCCACGGCCAGAAGACACUUGGGCAGACUGCUUCCAUGUCCUUAUGGAAGGUCAGGUGUUGAGCCUUGCAUAAAUUUCUACUUCAUUCCUGCCUGGGCUUCUCUGUCUAAAGUACUUUUAGCUCAGGUUGGAACUUAAUGUAUACGCAAAGAUGUUAAUCAGACAAACUUGACCCUCAAGCAAAACAAAGGAUGAUCAGUUUGUCUGUAUAGGUGUAGCCCAUAUAUCAUGUUUCACUUUAUUAUUGAAUUCUAAUUUGUGGGGCUAAUAGACUCCUUAAAAAAAAAGAAACACUUAGAAAUCUGUGCCUCCUCAAACAUAAGCAGUCUUAAGCCAGAUCUUAGUACAAAACCAGCUAAUUAUUAAUAAAAAUAUUGCAAUGAAUACCUCAAACUCAAAAUGUCACUAUUCUUUUUGUCUACAAUAACAAUAUCCUGUGCUCCAUCCAUAACAUGAAAAUUGAGGUACUUUUGCAUAUCUUAAUAAAUUAAAUAAACUUUUCUAGAACGAAAACUAUACCAAAUACAACAUGAAGCAGAAUUAAACACUUAUUAAUUCUGUUUAGAGAGAUACAUAAGGGAAGGAAUGUUUAUUUAAUUAAAUUUAUAAAAUAAGUAGAGAACAUAAUAGACCAUUCAUCUCUGUACCAGGUAAGACCAAGUUCAAUGUACCUCAUUAUCUUGUCUCUUUUAUAUCUCCUUUAAUGCAUACAGGCAUGUUGUAAUCCAGCUCUGCAGAAGGCCUAGGAAAAAUGGCAGGACAAGAUCAAACAUUUGUUUGAUCAUCAAACGUUAGCUAGGAGAAGAUGCCUAUACAAGAACAAUUAUAUUUCAUAGAAUAACAGAAUGCUAAGGGUUGAUAUGGACCUUAAAAAUUUAGUCCCAACCUCCCUACCAUAUGCAGUGACGCUUCUCACUAGACCAGGUUGCUCAAGGCCUUAUCCAACCUGGCUUUGAACACUAACUGUGUUGGGGAACCCACAACCUCCCUGGGCAACCUGUUCCUGUGUCUAACCACCCUCACAGUAAAGAAACUUCUUCCUAGUGUCUAACCUAAAUUUCUCCUCUUUCAAUUUGUACCCAUUACUCCUUGUCCUGUCACUACAGUUCCUGAUGAAGAGUCCCUCUUUGGCUUCCCUGUAGGCCCCCUUCAGAUACCAGAAGGUUGCUAUGAGGUCUCUACACAACAUUCUCCUCUCCAGGAUGAACAACCUCAAUUUUCUCAGCCUGGCUUCAUAGAAGAGGUGCUCCAGUCCUCUUAUAAACUUCAUGACCUUACUCUGGACUUGCUCCAACAAUUCCAUGUCCUUCUUAUGUUGUGGACACCAGAAUUGUAUGUGGUAUUCCAGGUGUGGUCUGGAAUAGUAGAGUGGGAGAAUCACCUCCUUUGACCUGCUGGCCAUGCUCCACAGUGCACACUGCCAGCUCAUGUUGAGUGUUUCAUCAACCAUAUCACACAAGUAUUUCUCUGCAAAGCUGCAGAGAAAGUUUUUAAGUUAUACUUCCCAAGUCUACUCUUCCAGGCCACAUAUAUUUGCAGUUCACCAGCCAAAAGAUAUUCAGUCGCUUUUUUCAGUUUUCUUCCAAUUCUUUUUCAAGUGUUUAUCAACUUUUAAUACCACAAAUGUCCUGUAAUAACUUAAUUACAUGAAGAGAAUUUUUUGUUGUUGUUUUGAACUUACCAUAUUCAAAUUUCAUCUGAUAGCUUUUUCUCACUAGAAGAGGCAGUUAUCCACUAUUUAUCCUUCAACUCCUUCAUAACCUUGACAAUUUUAUAAACUGCUGUUACAUUCCUCUUCACUUGUCUUUUUUUUUUUUUUUCUAGCCUGAAGAGUCUUAAGAUGUUUAAUUUAGAAUUCUAUUGAAACUGUUUCAUGCUUUUGAUCAUCCUGGUUGUCUUCUCUGUAUCUUUCUGACUGGGGAGGGAGUAGAGAAAAGUGAACCAGAAGUAUAUACAGUGUUCAAGAUGAGGGCACACUGUGGAGUUACAGAGAGGUGUAAUGAUAUUUUCUGUUUUGAGCUGACAUUUUCAUAGAACUGUUUCUCUACAGUUAUCCACUAUUUAUAACUUGAAGAUUUCAUUCCUGAGUGAGAGGUUGUGUAUGUUUAGUUAGGAUUUAUAUGUAGUUAAAGCUGAAGUUAUUUUUCCCCAUGAACAUCACUUAACAUUUAUUUACAUUUAAUGUCACUUGUUUUUUAUUACCAAGUAUUGUGUUCUACAACUUUUUUCAGCUGGUCCUCAUCCUUCUUGUCCUGAGUAAGUUUGUAAUACUAGCAAAUGUUAUUAUCUCACUCUCCACCUACCUUUCCAUUUCAUUUUUGUUUUGCCAAUCUGUUUUGCACCCUCUCCCUCCCCCCCACCCUGCCCGGUAAUGAGGAUGGAUUUAAGGAAUACAGACACCAAUUUUAACGAAUAAGUAUAUAAGUUUACUAUAGUGCAAAAUAGUAAAGAAUUACAAAAGAAACAGUGGUGUAUGAAAGGAUGCACUUAGCAAUGCAUCUAAUCAUUACUACAAAGAAAGUCUUAUAAUGAUUAAGAGAGAGAUACAUCGCCAGUUACCCUAAGUAUUUAUCAUCAUCCAGAUCACACUUCAGCUGGGAAGGCCCCGGUCACAGUGAAGGUUUGGAGAAUCAUAGAAUAGAAUCAUAGAAUCAGCCAGCUUGGAAAAAACCUCCGAGAUCAUCAAGUCCAACCCUUGAUCCAACACUGCUGUGGUUACUAGACCAUGGCACUAAGUGCCACAUCCAGUCUCAUCUUAAAUAUCUCCAGGGACAGUGAUUCCACCACCUCCCCGAACAGCCCUUUCCAAUUACUCUCUCUGUAAAAAAUUUCUUCCUAAUAUCCAACCUAAACCUCCCCUGGCACAGCUUAAGACCAUGCCGUCUUGUCCUACUGCUGGUUGCCUGGGAGAAGAGACCGAUGCCUGCUUGGCUACAACCUCCUUUCAGGGAGUUGUAGAGAGUGAUGAGGUCUCCCCUGAGCCUCCUCUUCUCCAGGCUAAACAACCCCAGCUCCCUCAACCUCUCCUCACAGGACUUGUGCUUCAGUCCCUUCACCAGCCUCGUUGCUCUUCUCUAGACCUGCUCCAGCACCUCAGUAUCCUUCCUGAGCUGAGGGGCCCAGAACUGGACACAGCACUCCAGGUGUGGCCUCACCAGCACUGAGUACAGGGGAAGAAUCACUUCCCUAGUCCUGCUGGUGACACUGUUCCUGAUCCAGGCCAGAAUGCCAUUGGCCUUCUUGGCCACCUGGGCACACUGCUGGCUCAUGUUCAGCUUCCUGUCAAUCCAAACUCCCAGGUCCCUUUUUGCCUGGCUGCUCUCCAGACACUCUGUCCCCAGCCUGUAGCACUGCAGGGGGUUGUUGUGGCCAAAGUGCAGGACCCGGCACUUGGCCUUGUUGAACCUCAUCCUGUUGGAAUCGGACUCUCUCUCCAGCUUGUCCAGGUCCCUCUGCAGAGCCCUCCUGCCUUCUGGCAAAUCAACACUCCCCCCCGACUUGGUGUCAUCUGCAAAUUUGCUAAUGGUACACUCAACCCCCUCAUCCAGAUCAUCAGUAAAGUAGAACUGGGCCCAACACUGAUCCCUGGGGGACACCACUAGUGAUCAGCUGCCACCUGGACGCAGCACUGUUCCCCACCACUCUCUGGGCCCGGCCCUCCAGCCAGUUCUUAACCCAGCAGAGAGUCCCCCUGUCCAAGCCAUGGGCUGCCAGCUUUUCCAGGAGUAUGCUAUGGGAGUCAGUGUCAAAGGCUUUGUUGAAGUCCAGAUAGCCCACAUCCACAUCCUUCCCCUCAUCCACCAGGCAGGUCACCUCAUCAUAAAAGAUCAAGUUGGUCAGACAGAACCUGUCCUUCCUAAACCUGUGCUGGCUAGGUCAACCUCUUCCUGGUAACUGGGAAACCCUACACAGUGUGUCCACUCUCAGGUGAAGCCUCCAUCUUUGCUGUGAGAGGGUCCAGCUUAUAUAGUGUUAAACAAACCAACUUACAUCACAGGUUGCUUUGGUGUGGCAAAGCAAUCUGGCAUUAUUCUGCCCCUGGUUUUCCCCUUAGGCCUGGCCAGGGCCCAAGGCAAAAUCAGGGGGUCAAUUUGGAUUAGCUACUAUCCAAUGCCCCAUGGCCUCAUGGCUUUGACUAGUCUCUAAAAACAGAAGUUAUGGCUACAUUGAUAUCUCAAAUAUGAGCAAUCUGUGGCUAUAUGAGGCCUACCAUUUUGGCUGGAAAGGAAAGGCAUAUUUGUAGCACACUCAAGCCUUACUAAUUAUUAAUAGUAUACCGUUGUAACAAACAUAAAUGUGUAUUCUUAAAACAUUACUAAGGAUUAUAUAGCAUCUUGGUAAAUAAGCAGAUAUAUGGCUAAAUGCAAUACUAGGUUGAAGAGUUCAUUUUAUAGGUCAGCUUUGGCUCAGGGCCAGUCCUUUAGGCCCCGACAUUACAAUUUUCUAAUGUGUUUAAGAGCACAGAUCUACCACACACUUUUGUGGUGUUAUAUGGACUGUAUAAACUUAUUUUGUCUCCAAAUUUUCAGCAAUUAUUCAUCCAUUCAAAGACCUUCCCUGUUAUCUAAUGACAGCAUAGUCUGUUUUACAGGAACAUUCUAAAAAGGACAAGGAACAUUGUAAAAAGCCUUUUGGCAUUGCAAGACGACUUCAGCAGCUGGAUUGUUCUUGUCUGUGUGAUUGCUGGCUCCUCCAGUGAACAGUAUGCAAGAUUUUAGAUAUGACUUUGCUUUACAAAAACAACACUGCUUCUCCUCAAACAUAUCAUAUUUAUUCACAUGUCUACUAAUACUUUCCUUCUAUUCUGUUUGUAAUUGCCUAGUUCAAACAAGAACAAGUAGGUUCAUUGAUUCUCCUUGGAAUUUAUUUAUUUUUUAAAACAGCAACAUAUAUGUAAAUUUCAUUCCUGGCUUGCAAAGUGGUUAAACAGAAGGUUGCACAGUGUAGUAAAUAAUCUGGCAUCUUCAUACCAAAAUUACUCUAAAGUUCUUGUUUUUCUGCAUGCUAAGUUAUCUUUUAAUAUUAAUUUCGUAACUUUGUUCCAUAAACUCUUUUGUUGAAUCAGA